AAGAUUUAAGUUCGAUAACAGUAGCUCCCAUCGGCAUUUAAUUCCUCCUCUUGCACCUCGGCUUUUGAGUCGAGGUUUUU
rnacentral:ncRNA from 1 species